UACGGGGGGGGCAAGCGUUGUUCGGAAUUACUGGGCGUAAAGGGCUCGUAGGCGGCCAACUAAGUCAGACGUGAAAUCCCCUCGGCUUAACCGGGGAACUGCGUCUGAUACUGGAUGGCUUGAGUUCGGGAGAGGGAUGUGGAAUUCCAGGUGUAGCGGUGAAAUGCGUAGAUAUCUGGAGGAACACCGGUGGCGAAGGCGGCAUCCUGGACCGACACUGACGCUAUGAGCGAAAAGCUAGGGGAGCAAACGGGG
rnacentral:rRNA from 1 species